rnacentral:rRNA from 1 species
GAUGAACGCUGGCGGCGUGCCUAAUACAUGCAAGUCGAGCGAACGGACGAGAAGCUUGCUUCUCUGAUGUUAGCGGCGGACGGGUGAGUAACACGUGGAUAACCUACCUAUAAGACUGGGAUAACUUCGGGAAACCGGAGCUAAUACCGGAUGAUAUUUUGAACCGCAUGGUUCAAAAGUGAAAGACGGUCUUGCUGUCACUUAUAGAUGGAUCCGCGCUGCAUUAGCUAGUUGGUAAGGUAACGGCUCACCAAGGCAACGAUGCAUAGCCGACCUGAGAGGGUGAUCGGCCACACUGGAACGGAGACACGGUCCAGACUCCUGCGGGAGGCAGCAGUAGGGAAUCUUCCGCAAUAGGCGGAAGCCUGACGGAGCAACGCCGCGUGAGUGAUGAAGGUCUUCGGAUCGUAAAACUCUGUUAUGAGGGAAGAACAGAUGUGUAAGUAACUGUGCACAUCUUGACGGUACCUAAUCAGAAAGCCACGGCUAACUACGUG